rnacentral:rRNA from 1 species
GACGAACGCUGGCGGCGUGCUUAACACAUGCAAGUCGAACGAAGUGGCGAACGGGUGAGUAACGCGUAAUCAACCUGCCCUUCAGAGGGGGACAACAGUUGGAAACGACUGCUAAUACCGCAUACUGAAGGAGGGGAUUGCGUCUGAUUAGCUGGUUGGAGGGGUAACGGCCCACCAGGGCGAUGAUAAGGAGCCGGUCUGAGAGGAUGAACGGCCACAGUGGGAGUGAGCAACGGCCCAGACGCCUACGGGAGGAAGCAGUGGGGAAUCGUCCGCAAUGGACGAAAGUCUGACGGAGCAACGCCGCGUGAGUGAUGACGGCCUUCGGGUUGUAAAGCUCUGUUAAUCGGGACGCGGUACCGGAAUAGAAAGCCACGGCUAACUACGUGCCAGCAGCCGCGGUAAUAC